AUCCAUUCACAUCACAAAGAGGGCCCCACAAUAACCAAAAGGAGGCCAUUUUUAUUUUUGUCAUUAUCUUCUUCUUCACUAAAAAAAAAUUCCCUAGAAGAAUAGAAAACCACACUGCAAAAAUAUUCUCCAUGAUUUUGUUUUGUUCUAAAACACGCAUAGACCUGGUAAACAUACUCAAUGGCACACACGUAGAAAUAGAGAGGUUGAGAGUGAGAGAUUGUGCAAGAAAAUAGAUCAAAGACAGCUAAAAAUGGAGAGAUUCAGUCUUUCUCUGAGCUUUUUCUGGCUAAACUUUCACCGGAGUUGAUUUUGGUUCAUCAUCUGGCCAACCAAAUUCAAAAGGUCUCAAAAUUUCUUCAUUUUUCUUUGAUUUCUAGGUAGAAUUGGUUGAAAAACACUAAGAUUCGAUGGAAAACAGAACCAGUAGUGAUUUUUGUUGUUGAAAUCAGUUUUAUUUCAGAUCAUCUUUGCGAUUUGUUCACUCUCAGGCUGGUUUAUGUUAUUGUUAUUUGGUUUUGGGUCUCAUCGGUCACCGGCU
rnacentral:lncRNA from 1 species